rnacentral:rRNA from 1 species
AGAUUAAGUUAUUAAGGGCGCACGGUGGAUGCCUUGGCACUAGAAGCCGAUGAAGGACGUUACUAACGACGAUAUGCUUUGGGGAGCUGUAAGUAAGCUUUGAUCCAGAGAUUUCCGAAUGGGGAAACCCAGCAUGAGUUAUGUCAUGUUAUCGAUAUGUGAAUACAUAGCAUAUCAGAAGGCACACCCGGAGAACUGAAACAUCUUAGUACCCGGAGGAAGAGAAAGAAAAUUCGAUUCCCUUAGUAGCGGCGAGCGAAACGGGAAGAGCCCAAACCAACAAGCUUGCUUGUUGGGGUUGUAGGACACUCUAUACGGAGUUACAAAGGACGACAUUAGACGAAUCAUCUGGAAAGAUGAAUCAAAGAAGGUAAUAAUCCUGUAGUCGAAAAUGUUGUCUCUCUUGAGUGGAUCCUGAGUACGACGGAGCACGUGAAAUUCCGUCGGAAUCUGGGAGGACCAUCUCCUAAGGCUAAAUACUCUCUAGUGACCGAUAGUGAACCAGUACCGUGAGGGAAAGGUGAAAAGCACCCCGGAAGGGGAGUGAAAUAGAACCUGAAACCGUGUGCUUACAAGUAGUCAGAGCCCGUUAAUGGGUGAUGGCGUGCCUUUUGUAGAAUGAACCGGCGAGUUACGAUUUGAUGCAAGGUUAAGCAGUAAAUGUGGAGCCGUAGCGAAAGCGAGUCUGAAUAGGGCGUUUAGUAUUUGGUCGUAGACCCGAAACCAGGUGAUCUACCCUUGGUCAGGUUGAAGUUCAGGUAACACUGAAUGGAGGACCGAACCGACUUACGUUGAAA